CGAACGGGACCAGGGGCAACUCUGGUUCAGUGGCGGACGGGUGCGUAACACGUGAGGAACAUGACUUUCGGCGGGGGAUAGCCGGCCCAACGGCCGGGUAAUACCGCGUACGACCUCUCGGGGACAUCCCCGGUUGGUGAAAGCAGCAAUGCACCGAAAGAGUGCCUCGCGGCCUAUCAGCUAGUCGGUGGGGUAACGGCUCACCAAGGCGACGACGGGUAGCUGGCCUGAGAGGAUGGCCAGCCACAUUGGGACUGAGACACGGCCCAGACUCCUACGGGAGGCAGCAGUGGGGAAUAUUGCGCAAUGGGCGAAAGCCUGACGCAGCGACGCCGCGUGUGGGAUGACGGCCUUCGGGUUGUAAACCACUGUCGGGAGGGACGAAUGCGCCGCAAGGCGAGUGACGGUACCUCCAAAGGAAGCACCGGCUAACUCCGUGCCAGCAGCCGCGGUAAUACGGAGGGUGCGAGCGUUGUCCGGAAUCACUGGGCGUAAAGGGCGCGUAGGCGGCCUGGUAAGUAGGAGGUGAAAUCCUGCGGCUUAACCGCAGGGCUGCCUUCUAAACUGUCAGGCUAGAGCACAGUAGAGGCAGGUGGAAUUCCCGGUGUAGCGGUGGAAUGCGUAGAGAUCGGGAAGAACAUCAGUGGCGAAGGCGGCCUGCUGGGCUGUUGCUGACGCUGAGGCGCGACAG
rnacentral:rRNA from 1 species